CUGAAUUUUUGGUCAACGAUUCCCGGGACACCGUAACACCGGGGCACAUGAAACUUGGUGGGCAUGUAGCCCCAGUAGACUUUUACGGAAAAAUUUCGUUUCGUCCCCGGGGGUCACUCCCCCCCCGCGCUGGCCCCGCCCGAAGCCCAAAAAUUGCAGUUUUUCCUACAUAACUACCUGAACCGUGGCACCGAGGAUGACAAAUUUUUUAUGGUAUGUUGGUCUCAAGAGCUCGGAUCAACUUAGCUUAUAACCAGUCAUUUGUGAAUUGCACCCCCAUGGUAAAAAUUGAAAAUGUAAUGUAAUAUUGCUUUAAUUGCCCCUAUCUUCAGAUGAGAUGCUAUGAACUGCACCAAAUUUCAUGUGUAUGAUUAACCUGACACCCUCUGGGAGUAUGCCAAGUUUUGUGGACUUUCAUCCAUGGGGGGCUAUAAUAAAUGUAUUUAUGUGUGCAUUUAGUGAAUGGUCCCUCAACGUGGCUGCUCUACACUGAAGCCUAGAAUGGCCCCAUGGCCCCAUGUAGCUGUGUCACUGGCACCCCCGUGGCUACCCUGUGCUUACCAAAUAAAACAAUUAUGUAUUUAUUACGAUUUUAUAUGAGAACGUCAAAAGCAGAACUAAUGCAACCACGUUCAAACACUGCAGCCUGCUGCCACUGGUGUGUGGCGCUGGCGCUGCUCAGUGAAUGAUAGAUCAGACCAGAGAGAAGAAGACAAACGAAGAAGAUGGAGUUGUGAUUUCUCAGUUCCGAAUGGCGGCCAUAUUGGAAUUUUCUUUACUGUCGCUAGUUUCACACUACUUGAUUUCUCAUGUUGCAGUAAGCUAAACGAUUUCAUCUCUUACGUGACUUGUUGUUCUUGCAGGUAACUGUGUAACCGUCUGACUGAUAAAGAAGUUGUUAAAUGUCUUUACGUUUAGAAACAUAAUCAAAAAAAAUUCAUCCAAGCAGAUGCGAAUAGCCUACAAUGUCAGUACUCAAACCACCAGUAGCAGGCUUAGGACUAGAGUUUGCCAGUCAGACCACUACACCUUUGCCAGCACCACCACCCAGCAAGCUUCAUCAACUCCAGCCAUGCCGAGUUUACCAAUCAGACCUACACCUCUGUCAAAUUCGCUCACAACGCUGCCAGUAACACCCCAGCAAGGUAGAACUGCAUUUUCAUUAAUCUGGCACCAAUAUCAAGGGAGAAACAAGCCAUGAAUGUCUGUCACAACUUCUUUGCAUCUUUACUUUCCUUACAUCUGAAGAGUGUGUUACAUAUAUCAUUAUUAAAAAUAAUUUUAAUAAAUUGUUUAAGCAUGUACAAUAAAUAAAGCAUGUAAAUGAGCAUGUAAAAUAAAUAAACAAAAGCAAGUAAAAUAAAUAAAUAAACAAAAUGUAUUGAACCUAAUAGGCUACUAUGUGUGGUGAGUCUGUGUGAUAGUUGCUGAGGAUAAAUGUUUUUAUAUUGGAUUAUUAAAUUACAGAAUACAUUUAUAGGUUUCUCAUCAGCAGGCACUGUCUUCACCUUAGUAAAUUUGGUAACUUUGGUAAGUCCUGUAAAUAAUUGUAAAUUGUUCUGAUUGAGGGCAAAUGGAAAGUGUUAUAAUGUAUUAUUGCUAUUUUAGUGCAUCAUUUUCAUUAUUAUGGCCAUAAAUAAGGCCAAUUAGAAGCUGGUGGGUAGUAAGCGGCAAAAGGGUGGCCCUUUAUCUGGAGCCGCUUCUGAGCCGCCGCUGGACAGCCAGAGAACUGAUGAGCAAAACUCCAGCGGGCCACUGGUGGUUACCGCCGUUGGACCGCCAACUCUGCCGCUGGUUUGUAACAGUAACUUUAGCAUUGCCCAUUAAAUGAUUGCAAAAUAUUUAUUGAGGUGAGUUUAACAAGUGUAAUUUCAUUGGCAUAUAAUUCAGGCCUAUAGUAGAUGGCUAAAUGGCUACAGUAGAAGGAUACACGAAAAGCCCAAACUACCAAAAUCUUCAUAUUUUAUUACCACAGUUUCUAUCUAUAGGCCUCUCUUAUUUGG